rnacentral:lncRNA from 1 species
GGAGUUUGAAGUAACUGAUCCAUAACAUUAUACUCACUCCUCUUGAUGAGCCCUAUCAUCUCAUCACCAUCCUCUUUCAAUAUGCCAGACUGGCCAACCAGGAUAGGAGCUUUAACAAAUUUGUCAACAACAGGGUUAACACCCUUUACAACAGGAACAGAAGGAUUAACACCAUCUUUCUUCACAACGUCUUCGUGGGAUUUCGGCUGAGCCGAGUGUAACACCCCAAAAUUUGCCCUCCUCAUUCAUGCAUUCAUU